UGGUGGGGCCGGCAAGUCCCCUAAUCUACGAUGGCUCAUGCAGACUGGCUUGCUAAACUUUGAUUACAAGAAAACUAAACCAACAGAACCCUGGCCUAGAAAAACGGAUAAGCCAUGUCUUUACAGAUGUUGACAGAGCAACUUUUAAGUCUUGGAUUCUGAUCAGUGCACUCUUCAUGGGUCCUGUUGACAACUGAAACUGUGAUGGGUUCAAUGUCUCUGCGACCCCUGGUUCUCAGUUAUAUUCAGACAGGAAAAUGCAGAGGCAUUUGAAUUUAUCUACU
rnacentral:lncRNA from 1 species